CAGCCGUAAACGAUGCGCGUUAGGUGUAUCGGUGACCACGAGUCACCGAGGUGCCGAAGGGAAACCGUGAAACGUGCCGCCUGGGAAGUACGGUCGCAAGGCUGGAACUUAAAGGAAUUGGCGGGGGAGCACAACAACGGGUGGAGCUUGCGGUUUAAUUGGAUUCAACGCCGGAAAUCUUACCGGGACCGACAGCAACAUGAAGGCCAAGCUGAAGACUUUGCCGGAUUAGCUGAGAGGAGGUGCAUGGCGUAGUCGUGU
rnacentral:rRNA from 1 species